UACGGGGGAGCAGCGUUGUCGGAUUUACUGGCGUAAGGGCGCGAUAGGCGGUCGUGUACAAGAUCACGUUGUGAAAAUCCGUCCCGGGCUUAACGUACGGAAAGGUCAAGUGAUACUGUCGGACUAGAGUACAGGAAGGGGCGAACUGGGAAUUCUCGGUGUAGCGGAUGAAAUGCGUAGAUAUCGAGAGGAACACCUGCGGCGGAAGGCGGGUUGGCUCGGGCUGAUACUGACGCUGAGGCGCGAAAGCUAGGGGAGCGAACGGG
rnacentral:rRNA from 1 species